GCGGAAAUAGCUCAAUGGUAGAGUAUCUCGUUGCCAACGAGAAAGUUGAGGGUUCAAAUCCCUUUUUCCGCU
rnacentral:tRNA from 1 species